AUUGAACGCUGGCGGCAGGCCUAACACAUGCAAGUCGAACGGUAACAGGAAGCAGCUUGCUGCUUUGCUGACGAGUGGCGGACGUGUGAGUAAUGUCUGGGAAACUGCCUGAUGGAGGGGGAUAACUACUGGAAACGGUAGCUAAUACCGCAUAACGUCGCAAGACCAAAGAGGGGGACCUUAGGGCCUCUUGCCAUCGGCUGUGCCCAGAUGGGAUUAGCUAGUAGGUGGGGUAACGGCUCACCUAGGCGACGAUCCCUAGCUGGUCUGAGAGGAUGACCAGCCACACUGGAACUGAGACACGGUCCAGACUCCUACGGGAGGCAGCAGUGGGGAAUAUUGCACAAUGGGCGCAAGCCUGAUGCAGCCAUGCCGCGUGUAUGAAGAAGGCCUUCGGGUUGUAAAGUACUUUAAGCGGGGAGGAAGGGAGUAAAGUUAAUACCUUUGCUCAUUGACGUUACCCGCAGAAGAAGCACCGGCUAACUCCGUG
rnacentral:rRNA from 1 species